rnacentral:rRNA from 1 species
CCUACGGGUGGCAGCAGUGAGGAAUAUUGGUCAAUGGGCGUAAGCCUGAACCAGCCAAGUCGCGUGAGGGAUGAAGGUUCUAUGGAUCGUAAACCUCUUUUAUAAGGGAAUAAAGUGCGGGACGUGUCCCGUUUUGUAUGUACCUUAUGAAUAAGGAUCGGCUAACUCCGUGCCAGCAGCCGCGGUAAUACGGAGGAUCCGAGCGUUAUCCGGAUUUAUUGGGUUUAAAGGGUGCGUAGGCGGCCUUUUAAGUCAGCGGGGAAAGUCUGUGGCUCAACCAUAGAAUUGCCGUUGAAACUGGGAGGCUUGAGUAUGUUAGAGGAAGGCGGAAGGCGUGGUGUAGCGGUGAAAUGCUUAGAUAUCACGCAGAACCCCGAUGGCGAUGGCAGCCUGCCAAGCCAUGACUGACGCUGAUGCACGAAAGCGUGGGGAUCAAACAGGAUUAGAUACCCGUGUAGUC